rnacentral:rRNA from 1 species
GAUGAACGCUGGCGGCGUGCCUAAUACAUGCAAGUCGAGCGAACAGAUAAGGAGCUUGCUCCUUUGACGUUAGCGGCGGACAGGUGAGUAACACGUGGGUAACCUACCUAUAAGACUGGGAUAACUUCGGGAAACCGGAGCUAAUACCGGAUAACAUUUGGAACCGCAUGGUUCUAAAGUGAAAGAUGGUUUUGCUAUCACUUAUAGAUGGACCCGCGCCGUAUUAGCUAGUUGGUAAGGUAACGGCUUACCAAGGCGACGAUACGUAGCCGACCUGAGAGGGUGAUCGGCCACACUGGAACUGAGACACGGUCCAGACUCCUACGGGAGGCAGCAGUAGGGAAUCUUCCGCAAUGGGCGAAAGCCUGACGGAGCAACGCCGCGUGAGUGAUGAAGGGUUUCGGCUCGUAAAACUCUGUUAUUAGGGAAGAACAAAUGUGUAAGUAACUGUGCACGUCUUGACGGUACCUAAUCAGAAAGCCACGGCUAACUACGUG